UAAUCACUUCUUACGACAAACAAAGUGAAGGUAUAUAAAGUCUGUGUUUCCAUCUCUGAGACAUCCUGUGACCAGAAACUGCUGCUGGAACAGACUCUUCAACUAACCAUCAGAACAAGAUGGCUGCCGGUCUUCUCUUCUCUCUGCUUCUUGGUCUGAGCUUUGGACUCUGGGAUGGAGCUGAUGCGGCUCAAAUGAAAGUUGCAAACUGCAAUCAAUGCUCUUCUGGUUGGACUUGGCACAACGGUCGAUGUUACGUGUUUAUGAACAUUAAAUGUCC